rnacentral:rRNA from 1 species
GACGAACGCUGGCGGCGUGCCUAAUACAUGCAAGUCGAACGCAGUGGGGACGGGUGAGUAACACGUGGCUAACCUCCCAUCAGAGGGGAUAACCCUUGGAAACAGGUGCUAAACCGCUACUGAUGGAUGGACCCGCGGUGCAUUAGCUAGUUGGUGUGGUAACUGCUCACCAAGGCGACGAUGCAUAGCCAACCUGAGAGGGGGAUCGGCCACACUGGGACUGAGACACGGCCCAGACUCCUACGGGAGGCAGCAGUAGGGAAUCUUCGGCAAUGGACGAAAGUCUGACCGAGCAACGCCGAGUGAGUGAAGAAGGUUUUCGGAUCGUAAAACUCUGUUGGUAGAGAAGCGGUAUCUAACCAGAAAGCCACGGCUAACUACGUGCCAGCAGCCGCGGUAAUUC